rnacentral:piRNA from 1 species
UCUUUUGAGGAAGGAGACCAAAUUGAGCCU